rnacentral:rRNA from 1 species
UGAGGAAUUUUGUGCAAUGGGCGAAAGCCUGACACAGCGACGCCGCGUGAGGGAUGAAGGUCUUCGGAUUGUAAACCUCUUUUCUUAGGGAAGAAUAAUGACAGUACCUGAGGAAUAAGUGUCGGCUAACUACGUGCCAGCAGCAGCGGUAAUACGUAGGACACAAGCGUUAUCCGGAUUUACUGGGCGUAAAGAGAGCGUAGGCGGUUCUUCAAGUCGAGUGUGAAAUCUCCUGGCUUAACCGGGAGAAGUCAUUCGAUACUGUUGGACUUGAGGGCAGCAAAGGGAGAUGGAAUUCCCGGUGUAGUGGUGAAAUGCGUAGAUAUCGGGAGGAACACCAGUGGCAAAAGCGGUCUCCUGGGCUGUACCUGACGCUGAGGCCCGAAAGCGUGGGGAG